GGUUGAUCCUGCCGGACCUGACUGCUAUCGGAUUGAUACUAAGCCAUGCGAGUCUUUGCAGUAAUGCAAGGCAUACGGCUCAGUAACACGUAGUCAACUUACCCUAUGGACGAGGAUAAUCUCGGGAAACUGAGCAUAAUACUCGAUAGAUCAUAAUGCCUGGAAUGGUUUAUGGUUAAAAUGAUUCGUCGCCAUAGGAUGGGACUGCGGCCUAUCAGCUUGUUGGUGAGGUAAUGGCCCACCAAGGCGAUUACAGGUACGGGCUCUGAGAGGAGAAGCCCGGAGAUGGGUACUGAGACAAGGACCCAGGCCCUAUGGGGCGCAGCAGGCGAGAAAACUUUGCAAUGUGCGAAAGCACGACAAGGUUAGUCCGAGUGAUUUCUGCUAAAGAGAUCUUUUGCUAGUUAUAAAACCACUAGUGAAUAAGGGGUGGGCAAGUUCUGGUGUCAGCCGCCGCGGUAAAACCAGCACCUCAAGUGGUCAGGAUGAUUAUUGGGCCUAAAGCAUCCGUAGCCGGCUCUGUAAGUUUUCGGUUAAAUCUAUGCGCUCAACGUAUGGGCUGCCGAAAAUACUGUAGAGAUAGGGAGUGGGAGAGGUAGACGGUACUCGGUAGGAAGGGGUAAAAUCCUUUGAUCUAUCGAUGACCACCUGUGGCGAAGGCGGUCUACCAGAACACGUUCGACGGUGAGGGAUGAAAGCUGGGGGAGCAAACCGGAUUAGAUACCCGGGUAGUCCCAGCUGUAAACGAUGCAGACUCGAUGAUGCAUUGGCAUAUAGCCAGUGCAGUGUCGCAGGGAAGCCGUUAAGUCUGCCGCCUGGGAAGUACGUACGCAAGUAUGAAACUUAAAGGAAUUGGCGGGGGAGCACCACAAGGGGUGAAGCCUGCGGUUCAAUUGGAUUCAACGCCGGA
rnacentral:rRNA from 1 species